GACGAACGCUGGCGGCGUGCCUAAUACAUGCAAGUAGAACGCUGAAGGAGGAGCUUGCUUCUCCGGAUGAGUUGCGAACGGGUGAGUAACGCGUAGGUAACCUGCCUGGUAGCGGGGGAUAACUAUUGGAAACGAUAGCUAAUACCGCAUAACAGUAGAUAUUGCAUGAUAUCUGCUUGAAAGGUGCAAUUGCAUCACCACCAGAUGGACCUGCGUUGUAUUAGCUAGUUGGUGGGGUAACGGCUCACCAAGGCGACGAUACAUAGCCGACCUGAGAGGGUGAUCGGCCACACUGGGACUGAGACACGGCCCAGACUCCUACGGGAGGCAGCAGUAGGGAAUCUUCGGCAAUGGACGGAAGUCUGACCGAGCAACGCCGCGUGAGUGAAGAAGGUUUUCGGAUCGUAAAGCUCUGUUGUAAGAGAAGAACGAGUGUGAGAGUGGAAAGUUCACACUGUGACGGUAUCUUACCAGAAAGGGACGGCUAACUACGUGCCAGCAGCCGCGGUAAUACGUAGGUCCCGAGCGUUGUCCGGAUUUAUUGGGCGUAAAGCGAGCGCAGGCGGUUAGAUAAGUCUGAAGUUAAAGGCUGUGGCUUAACCAUAGUACGCUUUGGAAACUGUUUAACUUGAGUGCAAGAGGGGAGAGUGGAAUUCCAUGUGUAGCGGUGAAAUGCGUAGAUAUAUGGAGGAACACCGGUGGCGAAAGCGGCUCUCUGGCUUGUAACUGACGCUGAGGCUCGAAAGCGUGGGGAGCAAACAGG
rnacentral:rRNA from 1 species